rnacentral:rRNA from 1 species
AGGUCUUGACAUACCGAUGACAGGUCUAGAGAUAGAUUUUCCCUUUUAGGGUAUCGGAUACAGGUGGUGCAUGGUUGUCGUCAGCUCGUGUCGUGAGAUGUUGGGUUAAGUCCCGCAACGAGCGCAACCCCUAUUGUUAGUUGCCAUCAUUAAGUUGGGCACUCUAGCGAGACUGCCAGUAAUAAACUGGAGGAAGGUGGGGAUGACGUCAAAUCAUCAUGCCCCUUAUGACCUGGGCUACACACGUGCUACAAUGGGAAGUACAACGAGUUGCGAGGCGGUGACGCCAAGCUAAUCUCUUAAAGCUUCUCUCAGUUCGGAUUGUAGGCUGCAACUCGCCUACAUGAAGUCGGAAUCGCUAGUAAUCGCGGAUCAGCACGCCGCGGUGAAUACGUUCCCGGGCCUUGUACACACCGCCCGUCACACCACGAGAGUUUGUAACACCCGAAGUCGGUGAGGUAACCGUAAGGAGCCAACCGCCUAAGGUGGGAUAGAUGAUUGGGGUGAAGUCGUAACAAGGUAAGCGUAGAUGA